GCUCUUCUCAUCUUUGUAUUUCAGGUUCUUACGGUUUUUAGCUAGUUUCUUUCUUUAGAAUUUGCUUUUUUUUUUUUUUUUCUGUAGAGAAGGCUUCUACUUACCAAUUUUUUUAUACUUUGAGACUUUCAAAGAGCUUUUUCUGGCCUUCUAACUGUAAAUGAAAUCAGGGUAAAGCCAAUUUCAUUAUAACUGAAAUAAAGGGCAAUUAGCCUCCAAGCAGCAGCAGCCACCAACUCCUUUCAGCAAGAAAGUUAAGGUUAGCAUGCCACGAUCUAUCCAAACCAAAGAAAGAUCCAAAGGAGCUCCUUUGUUGCAAUGCUCAGGGCAGUCCUAAAGAAAAGGCUGGUGUGAGCCCUAAGAGGAGACGCAGCCUGACAGUGGGCAGUGUUUGGUGCAUCAGAGGAAUUUGCAGUGCAUGUGUCAAACCAAGUGCUUUCCUCUCAGUGUUCUGAGAGGGGUGCAGGAGGUUUUCCUUUUCCUUCAUACAAACGGUCCUGCAGCCUGAAGAAAGUUCAGACUCUGGGAAAGCAAACUUUUUCACUACUAUGAAUAAACUCCAGUUGACUCAACUUCUCCAACUUCAGCAACUGUCAUCAGAAUGAACACUACACAGAAACAUUGAAUUUACCCUACCAGUCUUCCAAUGCCAUGAAAGAGGCAGUAGGUGCUGCUCUGAACUUAGCAACUUUUCUUCUCCAAAAAUGAGUCCAGAACCAACAACAAAGAAUUUGCAUUUACUUCUCACAGAUAA